rnacentral:rRNA from 1 species
UACGUAGGCAGCGAGCGUUGUUCGGAAUUACUGGGCGUAAAGCGUGCGUAGGCGGUCGGCUAAGUUUGGUGUGAAAUCUCCCGGCUCAACCGGGAGGGUGCGCCGAAAACUGGCCGGCUAGAGUGCGGGAGAGGGAAGUGGAAUUCCUGGUGUAGCGGUGAAAUGCGUAGAUAUCAGGAGGACCACCGGUGGUGAAGGCGGCUUCCUGGAUCGUGACUGACGCUGAGGCACGCAAGCGUGGGUAGCAAACAGG